GUACUGCUAUUUAAGGGCCGCUGCUGCCGCCGUCCGUAUCAACGCAUAGGCCGCUUGCCCAGCUCCCUCAUUCCGAGCAUGACACCACGCGUCGGAGCUUGUCGGGAGGCACGGAAGGACGAACAGAGUUCUACCGGUGAUCCGUGUUGUCGCUGACGGUGUCAUAGGAUCUGCGGUGCACGUGGACAAGGCGAUGGGGCUGCCAACCUACCUCCUCUUCACCACAGCGCAUGUGGAUUCUUGGGCUACCACAACUUGGAUCAGCUUUUUCAAGAGGGGAUGCUUGCCAUUCAGAGACGGGCGUUUCGCAGAGUGUUCAAAAUAAUACUUUGCAAGGGACAGGAGCGCGAUGUCAAGCAGCAGCAGCAGCAGCAGCAGGUUCUGCAGCUGACGACCCUGGUGAGUCCACGGUCGUGCUCAACUCCCGCCAGCAGGGCGCGAAGGAGUUUCCCCUUGAACCCCAUGACCUGAUUCUCAGGUUCGUAAUUUAGCCUAUUUUUGGCUGUUGAUCACUCCUUUGUUUCUUUGUACAUGUUCUGAUUAAUGGUGCUUUGGAACAGUUCAACAUGUAGUUUUUGAUGGGAUUUAGUAUUUUUGGGCUGUUGAGAUGGAACAGUUCAACGCGGUCGUAAUUUUGGGCUGUUGAGGUGGGAUUUAGUACAAAUCCGGGGAGCUGAAGCUUAAGAAGUUACAGAAUGAGUUUGCCUCGUUUUUCACUCUAUAUAUUGAUUUUAUUGACUACAAAGAUUUUGUAUUUUCCAUCGUCAAAACAGGCUGCACUUUCCUAAAUUUUAUGACUAAUGGAGGUGUAUGGUGCAAUCUAAGCUGGAGUACAACUUGUAUGCUUAUUUAUAUCCCUCCUGUUGCUAAUACGCAGGAAGAUAUUUAUCAUAUAUUUUUGUUGCCUCAUAAAAAAAUGAACCUAAUGUUCUUCCCUGAUAUACUAUUAGUCACGGUGUUGGCUAUUGUUAUUUGAAGUAUAGAUUGAAAUGCUUCAGAUAUUGUGCCUCAUGAAAGAACACACUUAUGUUAUGAAAUCAAACUUUCCAGUUUCUAAAAAGAUUAAGUGUCUGUUGGCUGCUAAUAAUUUUGUUUAUAAUAAAUUAUAUUCUUGUUUAUUAUAUAUGCAGGUUGAUUUGAACAAUGUAUAAGGUCGCCACUGCUGGCCGAGUUGGAUACCCAUUUGUGGUCCUUUUUUCCUUGUUCUUGUUGUAUAGAUGACAGUUCAUGGAUUUCUGAUAUGAUUGCUUCAGUGAUGAUUUUUGCAGAACCACAUGCCGAUGGUGCACUUGCCUUUGGAAUUAAAGAUCAGCUUACUACACUAACCAGAUAUCAUAUAUAAAUACUCUACUCUACAGCAGUAUGAAGGGAUUUCAGGGCUAGCAAAUAUGUUAAAGAUAGAUACAGAGAAAGGCGAUUAGGGGAGUGGAUUCCGAUAAUGAUGCGAAAAAAAAUUCCUUUGGGUCGAACACAUACUCUUGAAAGAAAGCAAGAAGCUUCUUGGUAAUGGAGAUGGUUCUCUUAUAUUUGGUAGGAGUCAGAAAAAAUCCAGCAUGGAAAAACACCAUAUUCAACAUGGUGUAAUUAUGAUGAUCUAAACGAGUAUUCCUGGACUUCUGAUUGUUUCUCACUGCCAUGACCAAUACGGGAUGAUGGUGGCUUCUUCAAAUAUGUGCAAGAUAUGUCCUCUUUAGCAUCACUGGAUUUUUGAAAACGUUAUAUCUGAAUUUAGAGUGCACUUCUGCAAAAAAGAUUUUGUCCUGAUUACUAUUUCGAUUUUAUUUCUGUAGGCACUAUGAAAUGAUCGAAUGCCGCUAAUCAUUUUGGAGGUUUGUUGUAGGGUGCUCUACCAGGUCAUAAUAUGCACCCACACAAUUCAAGUUCAUAUUCUGGAAGGACAUUGACCAACGAACCUUGUAGUAAUGUUACAGGUCAUAAAAUUGUGUAUUCCUACUAACCAUCAUUGCAUGUGUGCAGUGGUUAGAGAUUUUGUAGUGGAUAAUCAAUUAUCUUUAUCUGCUUCUAACUCAAGGAAUCAUACUGCAACAUUUCCUCCAGUGCAGGCAAACUCAAAUGAUAGUUAGUAAACUUGGUUAGUAAUAUUUUUUGUUUUCUUACCUUGCAUUUGUGAUACGUCACUGAACAUGUUUAUUAGUUUGUCACGUCACUCCUGCUUGACAUGCCAAUUCACAAAGGGCAGCCCGGUGCACAUCGCUCCCGCUUGCGCAGGGUCCGGGGAACGGUCCGACCACUUGACAUGCCAAUUCACAAAAAUGAAAGAAAUCCAGAUGACCUGUGAACCUCCCUGUUGACAUAAAAUUAAUGUUGUUUUAUGUCUAAGCCUCAUCUAUCAUAUACAUGUACAGUUACGGUGGUGGAUUUCAAUUCCUGUAACUUAGUUUUCUUACGAGAUGUAACUCAUCUACUAAUAUAUAGUAGUAUGUAUAAAGUUUCUUAAUCAAGCUAGCCUAAUGGACGGCACCAUACUUAGCCAAGCUAAUAGACGACCCAUGCCCAGUACAAUUUUUUCAACUGCUGUAUAAUGGUAUUAUGAUUUCGUGCUCUUUUUCAGAAAAUCUGGGUGAUGAAGCUGACUCAAUAGAUCCAGAUUUUGGCCGCUAAAGCUGGUAGUGCAUCCUUGUCUAUGGUGUGGACAGAGGGAGAAAGGAGGCAAUUAACUACAGUCUGAAUGUAAAAUAAAAUUGUCUAAAUUAAAAUAGAAUCUGAUAAAACAAAACAAAGGAGGUCAUUAACUAGAGAAUUAGGCUGGACUAGAUAUACAUAUUAUACUGUAUUUUCCCACUAAAAACAUCCAGCGGGGAGGCUGAUGCAGCACUAUCACGAAUUGUUCCAGCUCUUCCUGAAUCGAUAUGGUUUGUCGAUGUUGGGAUCCUCGAUGGUGAUUAGCAACUGAAUCGUGGAUGGAAGUACACUUUACUUCAAAGGAUUGCACACAUAUGAAGCGGUUAUUGAUGAAGUCAUGGAAAAGGGACUUGCCAAUGCUACACAGUCAUGAAAUCUUUGUCUGUUUCACUCUUCUUCCAUACAUGAUAUGCAAGGUUCUUGGGAUGCUCGGUACUGUUGCCAGGAGGUACGAAAUGGUUUGAUCUGUCAAGCAUGGAUUGCUGAAGCACAAAAUACAAGGGGGUGCAUGAGGAGGCGAGAGCUGACGGCAACCAUUGGAGGAGGUCUGGUCGGUCGAAGAGUAAGGCGUGGGCAACUCCGGAGAGAUUUGGCUUGAGCAAAUGUCGAUGCUGCUGCAAUGAGAAGACCCUUUCUGCAUGUAAUUCAGGCAAUAGCUGAGCUCCCAGCCUCCUAAGACUGGCAUGGGCACAUCAAUAAGGGCAUGGAGCCCAUCAAAGAGGAGGUCGGAGCGGCGUUGGACCUGGAUCAACUCAUCUAAAUCAAGCGGCCGGCCUCGGCUGGGAGUCACCAACGCUCCACCUGGACGGCGUCGGCUGGGACAGCUCCACAUGCAAUGGCUGGCCGGGGACCAGACCUCGACAGGAACGUGUUGCCCUUUGAGCCGGUGCAGAGCGACAAGUUCGUAGCAUCGUUAUAGUUUUUUGCACAAAGAUAGACCCUGUAGUACUGAUCAGGUGAAACAGAUCGAUGUGGCACUGGUACUGAACUGAAGCAACAAUUUGUUCAACAAAAUAUGAUCCAAAUAGAGCGCAUAUUAGUUUCUAUAA